GGGGGCGUACUGGCUUCGACGUGGGCACUGAAACCCGAUAGGGCAUGUCGAGGGUGUUAGCUUUCCUCGUAAAUCCAGCUGCAUUUUAUAGUUGCAAACGACGACAACUACGCUCUCGCGGCCUAAGGCCGCUUGACCUCUCGCCGCGAUGUGCCUGUGCAUUGCGCUGCGAGAGACAUUUUCACAGGACCGCGCGGAAUUUGGUCAUUUGGUUACGCGUUAGAUAAAAGAUGACUGGUUCACUACCAACCGUGCCGUUCCGGUCGGUAGUAACGAGAUCAAUAGAGUCGGCUAAACAUGUAGAACUACGGACGUAAGGUUCGCGGACGGGGGUUCGACUCCCCCCGCCUCCACCA
rnacentral:tmRNA from 1 species